AUGAUUCAUUGGAACUUAUGCCUCAAGUACCACCUGCCAGAAGUAAAGAACUGGUGGGAUCACAAACCUGCAAAAGUAUUGGAAAAUGAGCACACAAAGAUACUGUGGGGCUUCCAAAUCCAGACUGACAAAGUUCUGGAACACAACACACCAGACAUCACAGUUGUGGAAAAGAAAAAGGUUUGGAUCAAUGCGACUGUCACCUGGGAUGGCAACAUCAAUGAUCCAACCCUUUUUCUUUUCCAUAACUGUGAUGUCUGGUGUGUUGUGUUCCAGAACUUUGUCAGUCUGGAUUCAGAAGUCCCACAGUAUCUUUGCGUGCUCAUUUUCCAAUACUUUUGCAGGUUUGUGAUCCCACCAGUUCUUUGCUGCUGGGAGGUGGUACUUGAGGCAUAAGUUCCAAUGAAUCAUUUGGGCCACAUAGUUGUGCCUCUGUUUGUAGUCUGUCUGUGCGAUUUUCUUACAGCAGCUGAGGAUAUGAUCAAUGGUUUCAUUGGUUUCCUUGCAGAGUCUGUAUUUUGGGUCAUCAGCUGAUUUUUCGAUCUUGGCCUUAAUUGCAUUUGUUCUGAUGGCUUGCUCCUGGGCUGCAAGGAUCAGGCCUUCUGUCUCCUUCUCCAGUGUCCCAUUUGUGAGCCAGAGCCAGGUCUUCUCCUUAUCAGCUUUUCCUUCAAUUUUGUCAAGGAACUUUCCAUGCAAUCUUUUGUUGUGCCUGCUGUCAGCUCUAGUUUGUAGUGCAGUUUUCUUGUACUUAUAAUGCCAGCAGUAUAUCUUAUGACAGGUAUGGCCCAGGUGUUUAUGGCCUUGAUGGUGUUGCCUCCAUUGAGCUUGCUUUUGAGAAUUUUUCUGACCCUUUGUGUGUAUUCUUUGCUGAUCACAGUUUUCACAUGUUCAUGCCUGAUGUUGUCCAGCUGUAAUAUGCCCAGAUAUAUAUAGGCCUCUGGCUGGCGACACUUUAUUGUUUGGCCAUUAGGCAUAUUCAUGCCCUCACUUUCAAUGAUUUUUCCCUUCUUCAAUGCCACUGUCGAACAUUUGUCCAAGCCAAACUCCAUGCUGAUAUCAGUACUAAAAAUUCAGACAGUGUUGGUCAGAGACUGGAUUUCAGUUUCCGUUUUCCCAUACAGCUUCAGGUCAUCCAUGUACAUCAGAUGUGAAAUUUUGUGAGAUUUCUUAGAUGUUUGACAGCCGAGAUUUGUUUUUUGUAAGAUUGUUGACAGAGGGAUCAUGGCAAUAAUGAAAAGCAGAGGGGACAAUGAAUCUCCCUGGAAAAUUCCUCUUCUGAUGUUGACAAGUCCAUAGCUUUCAUUUCCAACAAACAGUUCAGUUUUCCAGUGCUCCAUCAUGUUUUCAAUAAAGGUGCCAACAUUUUUACUAAUCCCGAUGGCGUCCAGGCACUUGAUGAUCCAGCUGUGUGGGAGUGAGUCAAAGGCCUUUUUGUAGUCAAUCCACGUCAUGUGAAGAUUAGCUUUUCGGCUUUUACAAUUCUCCAGAAUCAUUUUGUCAAUCAAUAACUGGUCUUUUGUGCCCCUACUUUUCCGUUUGUUGCCUUUCUGUUCAUCUGGCAAGAUGUUUUUUUUUCUUCAAGAUAGUAUUAUUAUUGUUGUUGUUGUUGUUGUUGUUGUUGUUGUUGUUGUCAGUUAAAGUGCUAUGAAACUGCUGUCAUUCCUUAAGGUAGAUAUAUCCUCUGAUAAAACUGGAAAUUGGUAUGGAUUGUAGAGAAAGCAAACUAGAAGUUAAGUUAUUUCUUGAAAAGUGUGAAUUUAAUGUCAUGGUGACAUUUUUUUAUGCCAGAUGGAAUAAAGUGAGGAGAAAAGAGGAGGGACAAUUGACUUUUGUGUCCUGUACCUCAUCAGUCUUUGUCUUAACAAAAAUCACUUGCAAUACAUGCUUCUUCCAUUUCUGCACCAAUAAGACCACCAGGCAGUAUGAAACAAAGUGAACUGUACACUCCACUUCCUCUCCCUCAGAUGCACACCCAUGGACAUAAUCCAGUUUGGAUCAAUAUUUCCAGUUGCACCAAAACCCCUAGUAAAUGUAUAAGAAAAUGACUAGUAAUGCUGCUAACAUCCAAUUUCAUAAUAUUUUUAUGAAACAUUUUUCUUUUACCAAAAAUGUGUUCAAAAAUUAAAUUUAUUUUAACAUCUUUACUUUAAAUAUAUGUUGUUUUGUCCUUGCAGUACACCUGUUCUCUGCUUAGGAGCAUUAAAAAGGUAACCUGAGUUUCAUUUAUCCAAAGUACACAAUAAAAUUUCAAAACAGAUUUCUCCUAGCCUUAACAAGUCUUGUGUCUGCUGGAUGAUUUAGAUUUCAGUCCCUGUGGUUCCUCACCAUUAGCCAGGCAAACUGAGGACAGUAGGAGGUAUAGCCCAAAACACCUGGAGAGAAAAAACCCAAGACUUGGGGGGAUGCUGAUCAGGGCCGGUUCAUCAUGGAGGCUGUUGAAG
rnacentral:lncRNA from 1 species